rnacentral:rRNA from 1 species
UUGAACGCUGGCGGCAUGCCUUACACAUGCAACGUCGAACGGCAGCACGGGAGCAAUCCUGGUGGCGAGUGGCGAACGGGUGAGUAAUAUAUCGGAACGUGCCCAGUCGUGGGGGAUAACGUAGCGAAAGCUACGCUAAUACCGCAUACGAUCUAUGGAUGAAAGCGGGGGAUCGCAAGACCUCGCGCGAUUGGAGCGGCCGAUAUCAGAUUAGGUAGUUGGUGAGGUAAAGGCUCACCAAGCCGACGAUCUGUAGCUGGUCUGAGAGGACGACCAGCCACACUGGGACUGAGACACAGCCCAGACUCCUACGGGAGGCAGCAGUGGGGAAUUUUGGACAAUGGGCGCAAGCCUGAUCCAGCAAUGCCGCGUGCAGGAUGAAGGCCUUCGGGUUGUAAACUGCUUUUGUACGGAACGAAACGGUGAGCUCUAAUACAGUUUGCUAAUGACGGUACCGUAAGAAUAAGCACCGGCUAACUACGUG